UACGGAGGGUGCGAGCGUUGUCCGGAAUCACUGGGCGUAAAGCGCGCGCAGGCGGUCUUUCACGUCCGGGGUGAAAGCCCAGAGCUCAACUCUGGGAUUGCCUUGGAUACGGGGAGACUUGAGGAUCGGAGAGGCAAGGGGAAUUCCACGUGUAGCGGUGAAAUGCGUAGAGAUGUGGAGGAACACCUGUGGCGAAGGCGCCUUGCUGGCCGAUUUCUGACGCUGAGGCGCGAAAGCGUGGGGAGCAAACAGG
rnacentral:rRNA from 1 species